rnacentral:rRNA from 1 species
GAUCAUGGCUCAGGAUAACGCUGGCGGCGUGCCUAAUACAUGCAAGUCGAAUGGUAGUAGCAAUACAAACCAUGGCGAACGGGUGAGUAACACGUAGGCAACCUGACUUUAAGACGAGGAUAACCGUUGGAAACGACGGAUAAUACUGGAUAGGACAUCACAAAGGGCAUCCUUAGAUGUUUAAAGGUUAUCAUGCCACUUAGAGAGGGGCCUGCGGCGCAUUAGCUAGUUGGUGAGAUAACAGCCCACCAAGGCGAUGAUGCGUAGCCGGACUGAGAGGUUGAACGGCCACAAUGGAACUGAGAACGGUCCAUACUCCUACGGGAGGCAGCAGUAGGGAAUUUUCGGCAAUGGGCGCAAGCCUGAACCCGAGCAACGCCGCGUGAACGAAGAAGUUAUUCGUAAUGUAAAGUUCUUUUAUCUGGGAAGAAAAAACAAAUUGACGGUACCAGAUGAAUAAGCUCCGGCUAACUACGUGCCAGCAGCAGC